UAACCAACUGUGUGGCCAUUAUUUUUUUAAAUUUUAAGAACUCAUGGCUUAAACAUAUCCUUAUUCAAAUACGUCAGCUUAUACUUUAAUCCUGAGUUAAAUACUGAUUCAACAGCAACAUUAAAAAGCAAACAGGUGACUGCAAGUCAUGUUGGAAUGUGUGUCCUCUACUCUUGCACGGGAUAGCACUUUUCAUCAUCUCGUUAAGAAAGGGCUGAAAUGUAUUUUAUUGAGAUUUGAAUAUAAAUUGAGGUAAGCUAAGCAAUCAGAGCAGCUUGUGAGCAUUUCAUUCGGUAUAAUUACAAAAUUAAUAAAUAAAAUUUGGAAGGAUUAGUUAACAAUCUAUUUCAAUUUGGUUUUCAAAUUGUGCCCGUCUAAUUUCUUUCUGUUACCCUUCAGUAUUAACCACGGACUUGACUACCAAGGUAAGCACAGGCCUUCCUGAACAGCAGCAAGUGCUUCAACGUGCCAGGCAUCUUCCCUCCUAGUUCCAACACUUCUGUCAGUUAGGAAACCAGGUCAGAUCUCAGAGACAACAGAGGGCAACCACCUUCUACGCCAGCAUCCAUUGUGCUUGCUCACUGUUACCACAGCACCACCAUUAACCUCAUACACUAAUGAAAAAAGUGAAGUAUUAAAAUCCAGAAAAUGGAUACUCAUUGAUAAACUAAUGAGGUGCUCAGGAUACUUGUUUUUGUCUUUCUCAGAGAUACAGCCCAUUUCCACGUGAACAAAACCAAUGAAGCCCAGACUGCUUCAAUAUAAUCACUAAGUUGCUCUUUUACUUACUUUCCUCUCAAUCUCAGUACAGACUGGUGCUGAGAGAAGAUGCAGAAAACUUCAAACUCCCCAUGUGGACUCUUCAAAGG